AAGCAGCAGCUGGAAGGUGCUGUUUGGAACAAGAAGAGCAGUUUUGGUAAACUCUUCAUUCUCACAGUAGGUAUUCUUCCUAACACUGAUAGUUAAAAGAGGAUGGGAAGAAGAG